rnacentral:rRNA from 1 species
UACGAAGGGUGCAAGCGUUAAUCGGAAUUACUGGGCGUAAAGGGUGCGUAGGCGGUUCGUUAAGUCUGUUGUGAAAUCCCCGGGCUCAACCUGGGAAUGGCAAUGGAUACUGGCGGGCUAGAGUGUGUCAGAGGAUGGUGGAAUUCCCGGUGUAGCGGUGAAAUGCGUAGAGAUCGGCAGGAACACCAAGGGGGAAGCCAAGGACCUGGGCAUGUGCUGACACUGAGGUGCGACAGCGUGGGGAGCGAACGGG